ACAUAAUAUGGCGGCUCGGUCCUACCUGGUCUGAGGGGGGAUCCGGGGUUAGGGGGAAUCGGCGUCCAUCCUUCCCACCCGGGGUGUGCUGCCGCCCCCGAACACCUCGGGCGUCCAGAGACAGGACUAAGGGCCGCGAUGGUCGCUGGUGUUCCCCUGCUCUGAGUCAAGGUCCUCACAACUGGGUUGGGUCCAAUCGAGCCUCCUCGAUGGAGUUGAGAGUCGGGAACCGGUACCGGCUUGGCCGAAAGAUCGGGAGCGGCUCCUUCGGGGACAUUUACCUCGGUACUGACAUAGCUGCUGGAGAAGAGGUUGCCAUCAAAUUGGAAUGUGUCAAAACCAAACAUCCUCAGCUCCACAUAGAGAGCAAAAUUUACAAAAUGAUGCAAGGCGGAGUGGGCAUUCCCACAAUCAAAUGGUGUGGUGCUGAAGGUGACUACAAUGUAAUGGUGAUGGAAUUGCUAGGACCAAGUCUUGAAGAUCUCUUUAACUUCUGCUCAAGGAAAUUCAGCCUCAAGACCGUUCUUCUACUUGCUGACCAAAUGAUAAGCCGAAUAGAAUAUAUUCAUUCAAAGAACUUCAUCCACCGAGAUGUAAAGCCGGAUAAUUUCCUGAUGGGAUUAGGCAAGAAGGGCAACCUUGUCUACAUCAUAGAUUUUGGGCUGGCCAAGAAAUACCGGGACGCUCGUACUCACCAGCAUAUUCCUUAUCGUGAAAAUAAAAACUUAACAGGAACUGCCCGCUAUGCCUCCAUUAAUACCCAUCUUGGAAUUGAACAAUCUCGCAGAGAUGACUUGGAGUCCUUGGGCUAUGUACUCAUGUAUUUUAACCUGGGCUCCCUCCCCUGGCAGGGACUGAAGGCAGCUACAAAGAGACAGAAAUAUGAACGCAUCAGCGAAAAGAAAAUGUCUACUCCCAUUGAGGUUUUGUGUAAAGGAUACCCUUCCGAGUUUGCUACCUAUCUGAAUUUCUGCCGCUCACUGCGUUUUGAUGACAAACCGGAUUAUUCAUAUCUAAGACAAUUAUUCAGAAAUCUCUUCCAUAGACAAGGCUUCUCCUAUGACUAUGUAUUUGAUUGGAACAUGCUCAAAUUUGGUGCAAGCCGAGCAGUAGAAGAUGCUGAGCGUGAAAGAAGAGAGAGAGAAGAAAGAAUGAGACACACACGCAAUCCAGCGGUUCGUGGAUUACCUUCUACUGCCUCAGGGAGGCUAAGGGGGACACAAGAUGUAGCUCCACCAACUCCUCUUACUCCAACUUCACAUACCGCAAAUACAUCUCCUCGGCCAGUUUCUGGAAUGGAGCGAGAACGGAAAGUGAGUAUGCGAUUGCAUCGUGGGGCCCCUGUGAAUAUCUCCUCGUCUGAUUUAACAGGUCGACAAGAUACCUCACGCAUGUCAACCUCACAGCAGGUACACCAGGGGAUGGGGUGUGAGUGGAGCCUGCGGGGAGCUGAGAAUUUGAAGUUGCUGCAAAGAAAGAAGUGCAGGAAGAAGAACAAAUGAGGCAAAAAGCAGAAGAUGAUGAAGAAAGAAGAGUUAACAGAGAGCAGAGACAUGGAUUUAAAAGGGACAUUUUCCUUCUUAAAUGUUUGAAUUUUAUUGUGAAGUAUGAAAUAAAACUGCGAAAAUUUCUAGGUUCUGCACUUUGGCCAGAUUUUUAUUUUGGCCUCUGCUGAAACAUGCAUGCAGUAUAAAUAGCAGUUGAUUGUGAGCCAGAUGAAAGUUCUUCUCCCCAUACAUGGUGGCAUGUAAGAGAUAAACAAAGAUUUUAUGAGUAUUGUAGUCCAGCCAGAGUUUACUUAAUAGUUCCCUGUUUGCAGCAGCAUAGAUUAGCUUGUUCCAUAGUGGUGGACAGAAUCAGUCAGGGUGGAGAUAAACUGCAUUAAAGAGUCUUACUCAUGUUGAAAUCAUACUGAUGGAUGGUAGUCAAUUGGAUCAGAGGCAGGGACAGGUGAAGGAGCCAUUUCUAAAAGAGCAGAGUUUUGCAGGAGAUAAGUGGAAUGCUUUGAGAUAUUUUUACACAAAGCCUUGAGAAUACACACCUGUUUGGUCUUCAUGGGGAGACAGCUGUCAGGACUCAUACAACCUUGCACAACUUCUCUAGUAAUGUACAGAGACAGCAUGAGCAGGGCUUCUCUAUCUGGAGGACUUGGGUUGUGGGUUUGAGUAGGUUUUUGCGAGGGGAAGAGAUACUAAUCAUGUGAGCCUGAAGAAGCCUGAACACACAUUUAUUACCUCACUGAUAAAUGGGUCAGUUGCCUGGGUAAUUGAAGUUUCAGUCUUAAAAUAUCCAGGGUUGGAAAAUACUGAUAAUUACUGGCAAGAAAGAUUGUGCAGGAACCACAGGUACCGAGCAUUGUCAUGACAUGAGGCUCAUCUGUGUGAGCAGCUUUAUUCUGAUCUCCCCUUCGAGGAUGGAAGAAUCACAUGCCAACCUACAGAGAUGACCUGAUCCCCUAGGCUCAGCAUUGUUUUUUUUAAAAAUAUUUCCAGCAUUUAUUGAGUUCAGUAUUUACAGUAUUACUUAUUUGAAAGUCUACAACAAGCCGUUCACUUUAUCUUUUUUUCUGUAAAAGUUGGCCUAUAUUUAGCUGAUGUGUGUUUGACGUCCUAUGUUAUUAUGAUCCUUUUUCAUGAUAAUUUCAGACCUAAUAACUUUUUCUCAGUGACAUGCUUCAAACAUUGGUUCUGUCAGAAAUGUUUUUGUUAGCAUGGCAAAAAUGGAGGGACAGUGUUCACAAAACAAUUGGGAAAAUGUGAUUGCUGGUGAAUGAGUAUUCUUACUGUUUUUGAAUAGUACAGUGACUUCUAGCUGGUAGAAAUAAUUAGUUUUUCAGUUUAGUCAUCAUCUGCACGGUGGGGAUAUGGUAAUCAAUAUUUUUUCCUUACAAAAAACACUUAAGCUUGUCUUUUUGUUUCUUGAUGGAUUGAACUCCAUACAGGUAUCUUUUUUAUAAUUUGAUCUUAGAGUUUCCUGCUCUAUAGGUGAGAUUUUACGUUCUUAAACAUUUCAUUCAGGUGUAGCGGUAGAAAAGUUGGGCAUUUUUAUGAGAAGAGGAUGGUUUUGUCUAACUACGUUUCACCUGCUGCUAGGAAGAAAUGUUGGUUUGUGUGGGCACUUGCAUUGCUUGCUGAAAUGUACGCAAAGGAAAAGAAGCACUGAGAAAAAAAUGUAACUAUCCUCUACACAGAAGUGUAAUUAAUCUUUUGUAGUAAGUUUACAAGAUUAGGUUUUGUCUUUUGUGCUGUCUUGGCCAGUUGAGAGCAAUAAAUGGACUUCUGUUCUAGUGAACACAUUGAUCUGAAAGCCUGUGUUUGUAUCGGUGGAUCCUAGUCUGAAGGCUCUAGAAUGAGCUUGUACUUAAUUGAGUGCUAAUGAGAGAUGCAGGUUUUCUUGAAUUACCCAGGGGUUAAAUUUCUCACUGUGAUAAAGGAAAAUGUUUUUUUGAAUCAGUGGCCAGCACAGGCAAUAAACCAUUAAUCUAAUGAUCCUUUUGAGCUAGGAGUCAUUGGAACACAAAACACUUCCAAAAUCCUGUUGAGUGUUCCUGCUGCUCAGAGCAGUCUUUCUUCAUACAUCAGUUCUCCAAACACGUUCUAUAAAGCCAGCCUCUACUGUGACCAGUUUGGGCAGUGCUUCUAACCUGUGAAGGCCAAUGUCUCUGAGGCUUCUGAAAGGAGCUCCGUUCCAGAUAAAGAGCAGCUCCACCUAGAAUCUUAGCUUGCAAUUAACUUUUGGGCAGUGGAAUUGUUUCAAACGGCUGUCUUUUCCCCCCCACCUCAGAAUAGCAUUCCCUUCGAACACCAUGGCAAGUAGCUGCUCGUCUCCUCGUUGGAAAGCAGCACUGGAUUCCUGCUCUGGCGACGACCAGCGUACUCCAAUCUGCUGUGCAUCGAUGAAAUAAUGUUGCCAUUGAGGGGCAGAUAAUGCAUGGCUGAUCUCCUAUGUUAUCAAUGGCUUUUACUAGCAAACUAUCCCAAACUAGAGCAGAAGAAAUAUUCCAGCUGGAACUCUCCUUGCCACUGUCUAAAGAUACUCACAGGAACAUGGACAGAAUCCAGCAGCUGCUGCACUACAAGAGGCUUUAGCCCGAAACCUAAUAACCUUAUGUGAACUCUAGCAACAGGGCUAGAAAAGAAAGAGAUGGUAUCAGCACUGGCCGCCUGCUAUUUAAUAGCCAUUUUAGUUGUCCCUCAGCAGGCGGCAGUCUUCACCCCCUUUUUAUUGUUCUACUGUAAUUAUAAAACUUUUACUUGGUUUAAGAAAGUUUUGUAUUCAUUUUGCUAAGAUUAUUGGCUUAACUUCUCUAUUUAAAAAAAUCAGUCUUUUGUCUCAUUCAAACCCUGUGUGGAAAUGUGAAAAUUCUGAAGCUUAGUUUAAAACAAACUCAAGACUUGAAACUUCUUGUAAGCUUAAGUGAGAAGGGAAUGUCUAACUGAAUUAGAAGUGUUUCCUUUUAUUUUACACUAUUUACUUUUGUAUGGUCCCAUUCAACAGGAGAAGGGGGAUUCUCGAGGGUUUUUAAUUUUUAGUUUUACUUUUGGCUGUCUUGUUCUUCCAGGGUUGUUGGGGUUCUUUUUUUAAGACUUUAAAUCUCCAUAUACCACCAACACUUUUCUUUUAAUGUUGAGUUGUGUCGAGUGCUGUCCAAGAAAGAGUGGGAGAUAUUUUGGAAGAAAAAGCUGUACCAAGUAGAGGUGAAAAUAAUGCUUUUGAAGAACAAAAGGCAAAGUGCGAAAAUAAUCUUUCAGGAAGUUUUUAAUAUUGAAUGUAGAAUGUAUUACUUUUAUUCAUAGAGGAGGAUUUGGAGCGAGGCAGGAUACCUGUUUCUGCUGGGUUGUUCAUACAGAUGCCAAUAAGGCACUGCCACUGCAGUGGGAGCCGGGUGGUCGUAGGGGUGCUUCUUGAUUGCACAGAGGCAGCAAGUGCCGCCAGCCUGCUGCGUUCCGCUAAGGCUUGGAGUUAGAAGCAAUCUGUUCCUUCUGCAAGACAUCAAGAGAACAUUCAAGCUUGUUGAAUUCUUUAAUUCUUUAUUAAAAUGUGCAAGCCUGGAACAGCUGGCUUUCAGCUGAAGAUAUAUUUAUAUAGUGGCCAAAACACUUAGUGUGCCAGCUAAUAUACAUGAAGAAUCUUCGUUUUCAUGAGCAAUAUAUUUAUCCCUUAGUAAUCUGGGAAAGUAGAAGGCAUGUGAGUCAUACCAAAUACCACUCAAAGCACCAUCAGUCCCACUUUGGGGAUGAAAAUGCAAUAUGUAGGUGUGUUGUUACUACUUUUUAAUAAAUGUGAGAUUCUUGCCUCCUUGGAAACUUGGUGGCUAGUACAACUCCGUAAGACUUUUUUCCUGUUAAUUUGGAAGCAUCUUGUCUCAAAGCUUUGUCAGGUCUCUCUCUCUCCCCCCCCCCCCAUUAAGUUCUGUGGAUUUUGAACUAUGAACAAUCUUGUUACUUUUCUUUAGCUACCUUAGUACAUUAAUCUAUUGCUUAUUUGUAUGUUCAAGGUCUGAUUUGAUGCAACCUAUGAUUGGGGGAGUGCAAUGGGAAUCUGUUUUAAUGUUGGUCCAUGGAAAAUUUUGAAUAAUUGUAUCACUGGUUGCUGUAGAUGUUGGUUUUUUGGGCAUGUGCACUUCCAUUUGUACAGUUCUACACUUCAGUGUGCUUUUUGUAAAUACUUGUUGUCAAUGAUGUAAUGUUAGAGACUUUAAAAGGCAGCCUCUUCUUUCUAUAUAUCUGGAACAUUCAAUUGCUGUACUAUACUUAAAAAGUUGACUGCAAACUUCUCAAAUUCUUGGUUGUGGGCACUCUUUGCCCUUCCAUUAUAGUUAAAUCUCACCAUCACCUGCUGAAAAUAUAGUUAGAAUGUCUCUAUAAACCUGUGUAUUGGUAACAAUAUCUCAGAACACCUCAUUUGUAUUACCACUGUAUUUGUGUACUUUAAUAAUUGUGUAAAUAAAUUCAUAAGGACUUCUAAUUUU